UACGUAGGGGGCAAGCGUUGUCCGGAAUCAUUGGGCGUAAAGGGCGCGUAGGCGGCCAUGCGUGUCUUCCGUGAAAUCCCUCGGCUUAACUGAGGACGUGCGGAAGAAACUGCAAGGCUCGAGUCCGGGAGAGGGGGGUGGAAUUCCCAGUGUAGCGGUGAAAUGCGCAGAAUAUCAGGAGGAACACCAAUUGCGAAGGCAGCUCGCUGGGACGUUACUGACGCUGAGACGCGAAAGCGUGGGGAGCAAACAGG
rnacentral:rRNA from 1 species